AGAGUUUGAUCAUGGCUCAGGAUGAACGCUAGCGGUAGGCCUAACACAUGCAAGUCGAGGGGCAGCACAUGAAGUAGCAAUACGGAUGGUGGCGACCGGCGCACGGGUGAGUAACGCGUAUGCAACCUGCCUACAACAGGGGAAUAACCCGUUGAAAGACGGACUAAUACCCCAUAACACAGGGAUCCCGCAUGGGAAUAUUUGUUAAAGAUUUAUCGGUUGUAGAUGGGCAUGCGUUCCAUUAGCUGGUUGGUGAGGUAACGGCUCACCAAGGCAACGAUGGAUAGGGGAACUGAGAGGUUUAUCCCCCACACUGGUACUGAGACACGGACCAGACUCCUACGGGAGGCAGCAGUGAGGAAUAUUGGUCAAUGGACGCAAGUCUGAACCAGCCACGUCGCGUGAAGGAAGACGGCCCUACGGGUUGUAAACUUCUUUUGUAAGGGAAUAAAGUGCAGUACGUGUACUGUUUUGCAUGUACCUUACGAAUAAGGAUCGGCUAACUCCGUGCCAGCAGCCGCGGUAAUACGGAGGAUCCGAGCGUUAUCCGGAUUUAUUGGGUUUAAAGGGUGCGCAGGCGGGAGAUUAAGUCGGCGGUGAAAUUUUGCAGCUCAACUGUAAAAGUGCCUUCGAAACUGGUUUUCUUGAGUGUGGAUGAAGUAGGCGGAAUUUGUGGUGUGGCGGUGAAUGCAUAGAUAUCACGAGGAACUCCGAUCGCGCAGGCAGCUUACUAAACCAUAACUGACGCUCAGGCACGAAGGCGUGGGGAUCAAACAGGAUUAGAUACCCUGGUAGUC
rnacentral:rRNA from 1 species